rnacentral:lncRNA from 1 species
UUUUUUUUUUUUUUUUCCAUUUCAAAGUUCUUUGUGCUGAUCUUUUUUCCUGGAAUAAAAGAGUGCAAAGCCAUAUAUUUCAAUGAGAACAAGACCAAUAAAAAAGGAUAAACAGGAGAUGGAUGGUCCUUCUUUUGGGAAAAGUAAAGUCCCACACCACAAUUAGCAAAAGAAUAAAGAAUAUAUAAGCAUUUUUACUGAAAGCUAUAUAAUUUCUUUCUCUCCCUUUUUUCCCCCCUAUAAUCCUUUUCUGGUUUUCUUAUUGAUAACCAGCACAUUCGGUAGGAAAUCUGUCUUGUUAAAAAUAUCUCCAGAGAAAAAAAAAUUCAGCAGCCCAAGAGUAAAUGUACACAUAUAUGCAGAGAUAUAGUAUUAGAAAUCCACUUUUUUAAAAUUAUAAGUUUCAUAGUUAAAAAAUUUUGAAAAUUCUGAAUGCUAAAAUUAAGGCUGCACAUUUAGUCUUAAUUUCAUUCUGUUAUAUAUUUGCCUAACCGGGCAGUCUUACAUUCAUAUUCACUCUUUGCCUUUGUACCGAUUUGCUGGAACAAAGUCACAGCAGCUGAACAUUUUCUUUGUCUUGAGGGAAUCAGAGGCAACGUUCAAAGGUGCUCCAGCCCCAUAGCAUGGACAGUGUGACUGCACAAAUGGGCACCAUUUGGGCUCUGCUUUGGCUGAUGGCAGUGGGCAGGUCAGCCAAUGUGAGAAUGGCUGUCUUCUGAGAUGGGGAUAUUCAUAGCUGGCCCAAGGAUAAAGACCACCCUAACAGUAACCACAUGGUUAGUGUGAUUUUAGUACCAGAGUCAGUACCAGGCAUGGCUCUAGCAUCAAAGUCCAUACUAAUUCAUAAACAAUUAAGGGGGGCUGUUUUCUGAGACACUCGUGUCUGUAUGGCUGAAUUCUCUUCUCUCUGCCUUGCCCCUACUGUCACCUGGAGACUGUCUUUGCUCCAGCCUGUUCCUUGAACAGUACCUGAAAGACUAAUAUGGCCAUGUGCCCCCGAUGUGCUGAGGACCAUAUUAGCAAUGAAGCUGCGUGGCUGACCAUAGGUCUGGGCCCAGCCACUGAUUUGUAGGGAGGGGCAGCAGCUGUGAGCCAUGUGGAGUCAUGGGCAGCUUACAGGUGGCUUGUUGCUCUCUGACAAAGCCAUGACCUGUCUUCCAUAUAGUUGGCACAUCUCCAGGGCUCAGCAGAAAAAAGCCCAGGAUUAUGACAGCAAAUGAAAGCAAGGAAUGAUUCAGACUCAUUUGUCUCAUGUUGACCAUCUUUAGAUAUGGACAAUUUCCAGUAUAGGGAAGUGGAAUUAAACUGACUUCCACUUUCCUCUUUUAGAAACCUGAGGAUCCAGUAUACUAACCUGGUGAUAUUUGAUAUCAAUAUAUGUAGAAAAACGUGGUCUGUCUGUAAUUUUGAUUCCAAAACAGUUGCACAUUUUUAAGCAAUAACUCAGACUCCACUCAGGCAGUGGCAAACAGGCUGGGCUACUGACUUUUUGUGUGUAGAUAGCCAUAAAAUAUUUUCUAUAUUCCUCCCAUUUUAUGCAGCUGUACUUCCUCUUUUUUUAUCUACCUACCAUCCACUUGCCUGGUUUUGGACCUGUUGAGAUCAAUGAGAUUUUUUUUAAUCAAACAGAUUCAAAAAAUAAUGAUGUCUCACAGCCAUUUUAAUCCUUUAUCUUUUCAGAAAUAUUGGCAGCUGUGUAAAAGAGCAUCUUUAACCUCCUGUAAGAGUAAGACAGGUAGAGUUCAGUUCAUGCAUCCCAUUUGGCAGCAGCAGCUUGCAGCUGAUCAGCAAUGAUAUACCGUCUAACAGCUUUGCUGUGUCUUGUCUGCUGUUGGAGAGACUGUGAGGGAAAACUGGGUUAUUCAAGGCAGAGCCUUAAAGAAGCAAAACACACAAAUCUAUAGGAAAAUCCAUUUCAUUACCCUGACUGAUCUUCGACAGCAUCUAGUCUAAGCUUUAAAGAUGCCUGUCAGAAGUCAACCAGGUUAUGUUGUUCAUAUCAGCUUCUGGUACAUUAAUUUCAUUAUGUCAAUGGAGCAGCAUAAGCAUCUUAGAUUAUGUAUUUUAAUAUGUGUUUCUCAGGACACACAUGUCUUUCUUUCCACCAGCUUUAGUGUUCUGCCUUGUUGUGCAUGUUUGCAGGGGAUGCCUCCAAUGCAAGUAAGUGUCAUGUUAGCUUCAACUAUUCUGAAAAGUCCUGUAUACAAUUGUAAAAUUAAUUUUUAGACGGAGUGCAUAUUGAAGUUAUAGAAAGAAGUAUACUCUAAAUACAAAUCACUGCUCAGUAUGAAAUUAUUUUCACAGGCUACAUACAAAAGAACAAACACUGUAUUUAAAGAAUGCAAAACUUCUGAAACACUUACAGAUCUUUUUCAUUUUACUCAAAUCAACUGUAUGCCUGCACAUUGUUGAACCAAUGUAUGCAUCAGCCAGAAAAAAAAAACAACCUACUGCAUGUUCUCAGUCUCCAACUUUCUCACACAAAAUCAAUUUGUCCAGAAGAAGAUUAUGUCCUGCUUCUGCAAAAAGGCUAUUUUCAUGCUAGAUUUCCAUGUCAAAUCUGAAACAUUUAACAUAUAGGAUUCUUUUAAAGAUGGAAAAAAUGUUUUAUAUGGGGGAAAACUGUAUUUCCUCAUGUUCAAAGAUGGCACAAAACACAUAUGCUAGAAAGAUGUUUUAAAUGCCAAACUGUGCCUACCUGACUCAAUUAAAACUGCAGAAAGGGAGACUGCUGUCAUUUUCUGAUUGACAUGGAUUAAUCUGAAUUUCCUCAGGUAUGUUAGCCCAGGAGCAGCUGAGCCUUACCCUGGUUACUGCAGCUGCAGUAAUUUCUUACCUCACUCAGGUGUUGCUUUUGUCAGUGGAGACAGUAUAGGCGCUGCUCCUGACAGCAUUAAGCCAGAGUUUCUCCUGGAGUAAUUAGCAAAAGAAUUGCUGUGAAUUAAAACUACUUAAUUCAAACACUGAAGGGUGUGGAUGGGAAAAUAGCAUAAACCCUGUUUUGACCUCAGCAAUGUAAAAUUUCAGCCCACACAGAAGCACUGUAAUGUACUCUAGGGGGGCUGGCUAAAAAGGAACGAUUGAGUUUAAUGAAAAAUCAUAACUCUGACUAUUUAGUUGAUUUUUCAUUAUCUGUAUGUCAUUAGGAUGAAGCCCAUCCCAGACAAGUCAGAGGACAGCAGCUCUGAGCUUGGGAGGUUGCAGAGCAUCUGCAGUUAGAGAGCUCAUCUUCCCUGCAGUCCAACUCAUGGCCACAGGGCACUUGGCUGCUUCAGAGCUUCUGCUGGUGGGGCUGAACCAAUGCUGCGUUCUGGACCUGGGGCUGUUCCCACACCAGCUCUGUUGUUUCUGUAAAUGAAAACUGGAAUUCAAGUAAUUUUUAAUCCCCUAAUGCCUCUCAGUGUGACCAAGACAGGCCAGGAUCCAAAAUAAUUGUGGUAGAACAGGCACACAAAAGAAAAGUCCACAGUUAAUUGUGGGUUACAUUUUGUUGGGUGUAUUUAAGCCUCUACAAAACCUAUAUAAAAAACAAGUCCCAAGCUUGCUUUUUGGAGGUGCAGUAGACCUAUCAUGUGCAAGCUCAUAGCUCUGAGACAGGUCUGUGGUGCCUGAUCCUUAUCCACUGUGAAAUGUCCGGUUUGCUGCCGCUAAUGAUUUCUGGUAAGGUAGAACACAUGUUCAAAUAUAAUUUCCUGCUACUGCUAAAGCAUUUAUUUAUAUAAUUUCUGGUUUGGCCUCUGUAAUGUUCCAGGCUGUUCUCUAACCUGCAAGCAGGACACAAAAGAUCACCCAUGCACGUAUUAAGAAAUGGCGUGUCUGUCAGGGUAUUUAUAGUCCUGCUCUAAAUGAAGUAUUUAGGGUUUUGCCUUGCCUUUAUACUCUUACUACUUUACAAUCUUUACUUACUGUUUUACAAUCUGUUGUUGUGUCAUAUUUAUUGUGAAUAAAGGUUAUCCUUCUGGUAAUCUAUUGUUAAUAGCUAUGCAUUAAUGAUAAUCAACUAAUAGCUGAAAUUAUAGUUUUUAUCUGUAAAUAUUAAUGCAUCAGCAAGAUAGAAAAUAAUUAAUUAAUUAAUAUGUGAAUGUUUCACACAAAUGUAAAUAAUUUUGCAAGUACACAACAGCAAAACUUGAGUACUCUGUGGUGCAUGCAGAAAAAACUUUUGUUCACAGAUUUAAUAUUUUAAAUAACCAGAAUUCUGAGUAUGCAUAUCCACUAAUUUUAACAAAUAAGUUGAUGAGGAUUUCCUCAUAUACUCUGUGCUGCUUAGUAUCCAGAAAAGAACAGGAACAACAGAUGCUGACUGCUGAAUUUUAGUACUAUUCACACAGUCGAAUACAGAGGUUUCAUACAAAAAAAAUAAUCAAGAACAAUGCUUUGAUAAAAAUAAAAACUGUCAUAUUUUGCUUUUCAAAUAAGAAGAAAACAGGGCAUAAUGGAAAAAAAAAAAAAAAAAGGCAUGCCACAGAAUUGUGUUUUAUUAUCAGGAAAUCUAACCUAGAAUACCCUUCAUUAUAAGUCACAGCCCAAGCCACUGCUUCAAAAAUCAGCCACUGCUUCAAAAAUUCAAAAAAAUGAUUUUUUUUAUGGCUGUGGAAUAAAAUAUCAUGGCUUAUUUUGGUACCCUGCAACCUAGAAAUAACUGUUCCAAGAAAUUUGUGGGUCAGGUUGAGCUGACUUCCUUAGGGUUAUGUGUAUGGAUUUAUUACCC